CAGAAGUAGGUAGCUUAACCGCAAGGAGGGCGCUUACCACGGUAGGAUUCGUGACUGGGGUGAAGUCGUAACAAGGUAGCCGUAUCGGAAGGUGCGGCUGGAUCACCUCCUUUCUAGA
rnacentral:rRNA from 7 species